rnacentral:rRNA from 1 species
GGAAUAUUGGGCAAUGGAGGAAACUCUGACCCAGCGACGCCGCGUGCGGGAUGAAGGCCUUCGGGUUGUGAACCGCUUUCAGUAGGGAAGAAGCGAAAGUGACGGUACCUACAGAAGAAGCACCGGCUAACUAUGUGCCAGCAGCCGCGGUAAUACAUAGGGUGCAAGCGUUGUCCGGAAUUAUUGGGCGUAAAGAGCUCGUAGGUGGUUCGUUACGUCGGAUGUGAAAAUCUGGGGCUCAACCCCAGACCUGCAUCCGAUACGGUCGAGCUAGAGUUUGGUAGGGGAGACUGGAAUUCCUGGUGUAGCGGUGGAAUGCGCAGAUAUCAGGAGGAACACCAAUGGCGAAGGCAGGUCUCUGGGCCAAUACUGACACUGAGGAGCGAAAGCGUGGGGAGCGAACAGGAUUAGAUACCCUGGUAGUCCACGCCGUAAACGGUGGGCGCUAGUUGUGGGAACCUUCCACGGUUUCUGCGACGCAGCUAACGCAUUAAGCGCCCCGCCUGGGGAGUACGAUCGCAAGAUUAAAACUCAAAUGAAUUGACGG